rnacentral:rRNA from 1 species
GCUUCGGCCAUAGUGGCGCACGGGUGAGUAACGCGUGGGAACCUGCCCUUUGGUUCGGAACAACCGCGGGAAACUGCGGCUAAUACCGGAUACGCCCUACGGGGGAAAGAUUUAUUGCCGAAGGAGGGGCCCGCGUCCGAUUAGGUAGUUGGUGGGGUAAUGGCCUACCAAGCCUACGAUCGGUAGCUGGUCUGAGAGGAUGAUCAGCCACACUGGGACUGAGACACGGCCCAGACUCCUACGGGAGGCAGCAGUGGGGAAUAUUGGACAAUGGGCGCAAGCCUGAUCCAGCAAUGCCGCGUGAGUGAUGAAGGCCUUAGGG